rnacentral:rRNA from 1 species
UAGGGAAUCUUCCGCAAUGGGCGAAAGCUUGACGGAGCAACGCCGCGUGAGUGAUGAAGGUCUUCGGAUCGUAAAACUCUGUUAUUAGGGAAGAACAAAUGUGUAAGUAACUAUGCACGUCUUGACGGUACCUAAUCAGAAAGCCACGGCUAACUACGUGCCAGCAGCCGCGGUAAUACGUAGGUGGCAAGCGUUAUCCGGAAUUAUUGGGCGUAAAGCGCGCGUAGGCGGUUUUUUAAGUCUGAUGUGAAAGCCCACGGCUCAACCGUGGAGGGUCAUUGGAAACUGGAAAACUUGAGUGCAGAAGAGGAAAGUGGAAUUCCAUGUGUAGCGGUGAAAUGCGCAGAGAUAUGGAGGAACACCAGUGGCGAAGGCGGCUUUCUGGUCUGUAUCUGACGCUGAUGUGCGAAAGCGUGGGGAUCAAACAGG